rnacentral:rRNA from 1 species
UACAGAGGUCUCAAGCGUUGUUCGGAUUCAUUGGGCGUAAAGGGUGCGUAGGCGGCGCGGUAAGUCGGGUGUGAAAUCUCGGAGCUUAACUCCGAAACUGCAUUCGAUACUGCCGUGCUUGAGGACUGGAGAGGAGACUGGAAUUUACGGUGGUAGCGGUGAAAUGCGUAGAUAAUCGUAAGGAAGACCAGUGGCGAAGGCGGGUCUCUGGACAGGUUCCUGACGCUGAGGCACGAAGGCCAGGGGAGCAAACGGG